rnacentral:tRNA from 1 species
GCCUCGAUAGCUCAGUCGGUAGAGCAGAGGACUGAAAAUCCUCGUGUCGGUGGUUCAAUUCCGCCUCGAGGCACCA